CUUUUGUUUAUUUACUUUCCAUUUCCAAUUAGUUCAGAAACAAAGAAGAGAAGAAAUCAUUUUUCUUUCCCCUAAAUUUGAAAUACCAAUUUAAGGAAUUGCGAUUGCGAUUAAAUCUCGGUUCAAGAAAUCUUCACUUACUUAUCCAAAACGUGAUGCUUGGAUUCUCUCUGAAUUGUUUUUCUAUUUGCUUCAAGGAAGCCGAUGUGAAUUUUUGAUUUAUGACAUUCAAAACUGGAGUUUACAUGGAUAUUACUCUUCGAUUUGGUUUUCUACCAAGUCAUGAUAUUCUUUUUGUUUUAAAUUCUUGUUAGACUUUCAUUCACUGUCUUACUCUCUCUCUUUUGCAUAUAUGGUGGUUCAUUACUUCUCAUUUCCAUUAUUUUGAAUUAUUUCUGUUGAUCAUGGAUUAUAUAUUGCACUUUGUGGUAAGUGAUUUUCACUCUCAUAUGCCGAGUUCUUAUGCAAUUGCUGUCAAUACUUGUUUAAGCUUCAGUUAUGGAUUUGAGAGAUUUUCAUAACUUUCUUUGUUGAUGUUUCCAUCAUGACACUUUUAUUUGGAAACUAGAUAACUCUACUAUAGGACCGUCAGGCCCACUGGGUCCCCCCACUCACGAGUGGCAACCCGGAAGACGGUUAGCUGUAACGGUGGCUGGUAUCCAGAACUACCCUGACGUUGGCACUGGCCUUUGUAAUGAGUAGAGUAGUUUUAUCUGUAUUUAAAUGAAUGGCAGUUUAAAAAUGUUUAAUUUGGAAUGAAUAUUUUACAUGAAUUUCAUAUUUCAGUUUGAAGCUCUAUUGUUAUUUUUAUCUUGUGACACUUUUUGAUUUAUCUUGGCACUCGGUCAUCG